GACGAACGCUGGCGGCGUGCCUAAUACAUGCAAGUAGAACGCUGAAGAGAGGAGCUUGCUCUUCUUGGAUGAGUUGCGAACGGGUGAGUAACGCGUAGGUAACCUGCCUUGUAGCGGGGGAUAACUAUUGGAAACGAUAGCUAAUACCGCAUAACAAUGGAUGACACAUGUCAUUUAUUUGAAAGGGGCAAUUGCUCCACUACAAGAUGGACCUGCGUUGUAUUAGCUAGUAGGUGAGGUAAUGGCUCACCUAGGCGACGAUACAUAGCCGACCUGAGAGGGUGAUCGGCCACACUGGGACUGAGACACGGCCCAGACUCCUACGGGAGGCAGCAGUAGGGAAUCUUCGGCAAUGGGGGCAACCCUGACCGAGCAACGCCGCGUGAGUGAAGAAGGUUUUCGGAUCGUAAAGCUCUGUUGUAAGUCAAGAACGGGUGUGAGAGUGGAAAGUUCACACUGUGACGGUAGCUUACCAGAAAGGGACGGCUAACUACGUGCCAGCAGCCGCGGUAAUACGUAGGUCCCGAGCGUUGUCCGGAUUUAUUGGGCGUAAAGCGAGCGCAGGCGGUUUGAUAAGUCUGAAGUUAAAGGCUGUGGCUCAACCAUAGUUCGCUUUGGAAACUGUCAAACUUGAGUGCAGAAGGGGAGAGUGGAAUUCCAUGUGUAGCGGUGAAAUGCGUAGAUAUAUGGAGGAACACCGGUGGCGAAAGCGGCUCUCUGGUCUGUAACUGACGCUGAGGCUCGAAAGCGUGGGGAGCGAACAGGAUUAGAUACCCUGGUAGUCCACGCCGUAAACGAUGAGUGCUAGGUGUUGGAUCCUUUCCGGGAUUCAGUGCCGCAGCUAACGCAUUAAGCACUCCGCCUGGGGAGUACGACCGCAAGGUUGAAACUCAAAGGAAUUGACGGGGGCCCGCACAAGCGGUGGAGCAUGUGGUUUAAUUCGAAGCAACGCGAAGAACCUUACCAGGUCUUGACAUCCCGAUGCUAUUUCUAGAGAUAGAAAGUUACUUCGGUACAUCGGUGACAGGUGGUGCAUGGUUGUCGUCAGCUGCAUCGACGACUACGUGGGUUAAGUCCCGCAACGAGCGCAACCCCUAUUGUUAGUUGCCAUCAUUCAGUUGGGCACUCUAGCGAGACUGCCGGUAAUAAACCGGAGGAAGGUGGGGAUGACGUCAAAUCAUCAUGCCCCUCGACGACUGACUCACACACGUGCUACAAUGGUUGGUACAACGAGUUGCGAGUCGGUGACGGCGAGCUAAUCUCUUAAAGCCAAUCUCAGUUCGGAUUGUAGGCUGCAACUCGCCUACAUGAAGUCGGAAUCGCUAGUAAUCGCGGAUCAGCACGCCGCGGUGAAUACGUUCCCGGGCCUUGUACACACCGCCCGUCACACCACGAGAGUUUGUAACACCCACGCAGCUCGACUGCAUG
rnacentral:rRNA from 1 species